UACAGAGGGUGCAAGCGUUGUUCGGAAUUAUUGGGCGUAAAGGGCGCGUAGGCGGUUCGGCAAGUCUCUAGUGAAAUCUCAGGGCUCAACUCUGAGUCUGCUGGGGAAACUGCCGGGCUUGAGUGUGGGAGAGGAGAGUGGAAUUCCCGGUGUAGCGGUGAAAUGCGCAGAUAUCGGGAGGAACACCAGUGGCGAAGGCGGCACUCUGGGCCUGUUCGUGACGCUGAGGCGCGAAAGCUAGGGGAG
rnacentral:rRNA from 1 species